rnacentral:rRNA from 1 species
AGCGAACGCUGGCGGCGUGCUUAACACAUGCAAGUCGAGCGAACCUUCGGGUUAGCGGCGAACGGGUGAGUAACACGUGGGCAACCUGCCCCGAGCUCUGGGAUAACCCCGGGAAACCGGGGCUAAUACCGGAUAUGACAUCGACAGACAUCUGUCGUUGUGGAAAGUUUUUCGGCUCGGGAUGGGCCCGCGGCCUAUCAGCUUGUUGGUGGGGUAACGGCCUACCAAGGCGACGACGGGUAGCCGGCCUGAGAGGGCGACCGGCCACACUGGGACUGAGACACGGCCCAGACUCCUACGGGAGGCAGCAGUGGGGAAUAUUGCGCAAUGGGCGAAAGCCUGACGCAGCGACGCCGCGUGAGGGAUGAAGGCCUUCGGUUGUAAC